rnacentral:piRNA from 1 species
UGUGAUGCAGAGUACUCCUGGGCCAAUCA